rnacentral:rRNA from 1 species
GAGUUUGAUCCUGGCUCAGAACGAACGCUGGCGGCAGGCCUAACACAUGCAAGUCGAGCGGGCGCGAGCGAUCGCGUCAGCGGCGCACGGGUGAGUAACGCGUGGGAACCUGCCCUUUGGUUCGGAACAACCCUGGGAAACUAGGGCUGAUACCGGAUGAUCCCCGUGAGGGGAAAGAUUUAUCGCCGAAGGAGGGGCCCGCGUCCGAUUAGCUAGUUGGUGGGGUAAUGGCCUACCAAGGCUGCGAUCGGUAGCUGGUCUGAGAGGACGACCAGCCACACUGGGACUGAGACACGGCCCAGACUCCUACGGGAGGCAGCAGUGGGGAAUCUUGGACAAUGGGGGAAACCCUGAUCCAGCCAUGCCGCGUGAGUGAUGAAGGCCCUAGGGUUGUAAAACUCUUUCGGCGGGGACGAUAAUGACGGUACCGCAGAAGAAGCUCCGGCUAACUUCGUGCCAGCAGCCGCAGUAAG